AACGAACGCUGGCGGCAGGCUUAACACAUGCAAGUCGAACGCCCCGCAAGGGGAGUGGCGCACGGGUGAGUAACGCGUGGGAAUAUGCCCUUCGGUUCGGAAUAACACAGGGAAACUUGUGCUAAUACCGGAUACGAUCUACGGAUGAAAGAUUUAUCGCCGAGGGAGUAGCCCGCGUAGGAUUAGCUAGUUGGUGAGGUAAUGGCUCACCAAGGCGACGAUCCUUAGCUGGUCUGAGAGGAUGAUCAGCCACACUGGGACUGAGACACGGCCCAGACUCCUACGGGAGGCAGCAGGGGGGAAUAUUGGACAAUGGGGGAAACCCUGAUCCAGCCAUGCCGCGUGGGUGAUGAAGGCCUUAGGGUUGUAAAGCUCUUUCGCCAGGGAAGAUAAUGACGGUACCUGGAAAAGAAGCCUCGGCUAACUCCGUGCCAGCAGCCGCCGUAACAC
rnacentral:rRNA from 1 species